rnacentral:rRNA from 1 species
CAACCUGCCGACAACACUGGGAUAGCCUUUCGAAAGAAAGAUUAAUACCGGAUGGCAUAAUUAUUCCGCAUGGGAUGAUUAUUAAAGAAUUUCGGUUGUCGAUGGGGAUGCGUUCCAUUAGGCAGUUGGCGGGGUAACGGCCCACCAAACCUACGAUGGAUAGGGGUUCUGAGAGGAAGGUCCCCCACAUUGGAACUGAGACACGGUCCAAACUCCUACGGGAGGCAGCAGUGAGGAAUAUUGGUCAAUGGACGAGAGUCUGAACCAGCCAAGUAGCGUGAAGGAUGACUGCCCUAUGGGUUGUAAACUUCUUUUAUACGGGAAUAAAGUGAGCCACGUGUGGCUUUUUGUAUGUACCGUAUGAAUAAGGAUCGGCUAACUCCGUGCCAGCAGCCGCGGUAAUACGGAGGAUCCGAGCGUUAUCCGGAUUUAUUGGGUUUAAAGGGAGCGUAGGCGGGUUGUUAAGUCAGUUGUGAGAGUUUGCGGCUCAACCGCAAAAUUGCAGUUGAUACUGGCGACCUUGAGUGCAACAGAGGUAGGCGGAAUUCGUGGUGUAGCGGUGAAAUGCUUAGAUAUCACGAAGAACUCCGAUUG